ensembl:lncRNA
AGGAUCGAACCCACACUCUUGUAUUGGCAGGCAGAUUCUUUCCAAGGAAGCCCUGGAAAAAGUUUAAACAUGGCUCAAAAAGGGCCAUGAAAAUCUGCCUGUCCCCCUCUGCUCCUCCCCGUUGGCAGCAAACUUGGAGGCUCCUUUUUUUGAAAAUCUUCACAAGAUAGAAGAUGUGAAAAGCAUCAUCAAGAGGGAAAAGAAUUGCAGAAAGAAGAGGCCAAAAACCUCUCAAAAAUUAAAAGGCAAAGAAAAUGAGUGUUUUCUAAGUAAAUUACAAAUUAAAGCUCUGCUUACUCCUAAUUUUUACUGUUCAGCCAUUUCUCUUUUUUAAAUUUAUUUAUUUAUUUUAAUUGGAGGCUAGUUAUUUUACACUAU